AUAACAUGGUAGGGGCAUUUACGAAUGAGGUCCCUUAACCUUUUUCAUGUCUCAUGAAAAAGUUCACCAUCCAAUUAGAAAAAACUAGUGAUAGUUUUUCUAAUUUA